rnacentral:rRNA from 1 species
GGGAACCUCACCAGACCCGGACACCGGAAGGAUUGGGUGGUGGUGCAUGGCCGUUCUUAGUUGGUGGAGUGAUUUGUCUGGUUAAUUCCGUUAACGAACGAGACCCCAGCCUGCUAAAUAAUCACGCUAAUGACUUUUCAUUGGCGAUUGGUUUCUUAGAGGGACAUGUAGUAUAAAACUACAGGAAGAUUGGGGCAAUAA